rnacentral:rRNA from 1 species
GGUUAAGUUAGAAAGGGCGCACGGUGGAUGCCUUGACACUAGGAGUCGAUGAAGGACGGGACUAACGCCGAUAUGCUUCGGGAGCUGUAAGUAAGCUUUGAUCCGAAGAUUUCCGAAUGGGGAAACCCACCAUACGUAAUGGUAUGGUAUCCUUAUCUGAAUACAUAGGGUAAGGAAGACAGACCCAGGGAACUGAAACAUCUAAGUACCUGGAGGAAGAGAAAGCAAAUGCGAUUUCCUGAGUAGCGGCGAGCGAAACGGAACAUAGCCCAAACCAAGAGGCUUGCCUCUUGGGGUUGUAGGACAUUCUAUACGGAGUUACAAAGGAACGAGGUAGACGAAGCGACCUGGAAAGGUCCGUCGUAGAGGGUAACAACCCCGUAGUCGAAACUUCGUUCUCUCUUGAAUGUAUCCUGAGUACGGCGGAACACGUGAAAUUCCGUCGGAAUCUGGGAGGACCAUCUCCCAAGGCUAAAUACUCCCUAGUGAUCGAUAGUGAACCAGUACCGUGAGGGAAAGGUGAAAAGCACCCCGGAAGAGAGUGAAAGAGAUCCUGCAACCGUGGGCCUACAAACAGUCAGUGCCCGUUAGCGGGUGAUGGCGUGCCUUUGUAGAAUGAACCGGCGAGUUACGAUCCCGUGCGAGGUUAAGCUGAAGAGGCGGAGCCGCAGCGAAAGCGAGUCUGAAUAGGGCGUUUAGUACGUGGUCGUAGACCCGAAACCAGGUGAUCUACCCAUGUCCAGGGUGAAGUUCAGGUAACACUGAAUGGAGGCCCGAACCCACGCACGUUGAAAAGUGCGGGGAUGAGGUGUGGGUAGCGGAGAAAUUCCAAUCGAACCUGGAGAUAGCUGGUUCUCCCCGAAAUAGCUUUAGGGCUAGCCUUAAGUGUAAGAGUCUUGGAGGUAGAGCACUGAUUGGACUAGGGGUCCUCAUCGGAUUACCGAAUUCAGUCAAACUCCGAAUGCCAAUGACUUAUCCUUAGGAGUCAGACUGCGAGUGAUAAGAUCCGUAGUCAAAGGGAAACAGCCCAGACCGCCAGCUAAGGUCCCAAAGUGUGUAUUAAGUGGAAAAGGAUGUGGAGUUGCUUAGACAACUAGGAUGUUGGCUUAGAAGCAGCCACCAUUUAAAGAGUGCGUAAUAGCUCACUAGUCGAGUGACUCUGCGCCGAAAAUGUACCGGGGCUAAAUACACCACCGAAGCUGCGGAUUGAUACCAAUGGUAUCAGUGGUGGGGAGCGUUCUAAGGACAGUGAAGUCAGACCGGAAGGACUGGUGGAGUGCUUAGAAGUGAGAAUGCCGGUAUGAGUAGCGAAAGACGGGUGAGAAUCCCGUCCACCGAAUGCCUAAGGUUUCCUGAGGAAGGCUCGUCCGCUCAGGGUUAGUCAGGACCUAAGCCGAGGCCGACAGGCGUAGGCGAUGGACAACAGGUUGAUAUUCCUGUACCACCUCUUUAUCGUUUGAGCAAUGGAGGGACGCAGAAGGAUAGAAGAAGCGUGCGAUUGGUUGUGCACGUCCAAGCAGUUAGGCUGAUAAGUAGGCAAAUCCGCUUAUCAUAAAGGCUGAGCUGUGAUGGGGAAGCUCCUUAUGGAGCGAAGUCUUUGAUUCCCCGCUGCCAAGAAAAGCUUCUAGCGAGAUAAAAGGUGCCUGUACCGCAAACCGACACAGGUAGGCGAGGAGAGAAUCUAAGGUGUGCGAGAGAACUCUGGUUAAGGAACUCGGCAAAAUGACCCCGUAACUUCGGGAGAAGGGGUGCUUUCUUAACGGAAAGCCGCAGUGAAUAGGCCCAAGCGACUGUUUAGCAAAAACACAGCUCUCUGCGAAGCCGUAAGGCGAAGUAUAGGGGGUGACACCUGCCCGGUGCUGGAAGGUUAAGGAGAGGGGUUAGCGUAAGCGAAGCUCUGAACUGAAGCCCCAGUAAACGGCGGCCGUAACUAUAACGGUCCUAAGGUAGCGAAAUUCCUUGUCGGGUAAGUUCCGACCCGCACGAAAGGUGUAACGAUUUGGGCACUGUCUCAACCAGAGACUCGGUGAAAUUAUAGUACCUGUGAAGAUGCAGGUUACCCGCGACAGGACGGAAAGACCCCGUGGAGCUUUACUGUAGCCUGAUAUUGAAUUUUGGUACAGUUUGUACAGGAUAGGCGGGAGCCUUUGAAACCGGAGCGCUAGCUUCGGUGGAGGCGCUGGUGGGAUACCGCCCUGACUGUAUUGAAAUUCUAACCUACGGGUCUUAUCGACCCGGGAGACAGUGUCAGGUGGGCAGUUUGACUGGGGCGGUCGCCUCCUAAAGUGUAACGGAGGCGCCCAAAGGUUCCCUCAGAAUGGUUGGAAAUCAUUCGUAGAGUGCAAAGGCAUAAGGGAGCUUGACUGCGAGACCUACAAGUCGAGCAGGGACGAAAGUCGGGCUUAGUGAUCCGGUGGUUCCGCAUGGAAGGGCCAUCGCUCAACGGAUAAAAGCUACCCCGGGGAUAACAGGCUUAUCUCCCCAAGAGUCCACAUCGACGGGGAGGUUUGGCACCUCGAUGUCGGCUCAUCGCAUCCUGGGGCUGUAGUCGGUCCCAAGGGUUGGGCUGUUCGCCCAUUAAAGCGGUACGCGAGCUGGGUUCAGAACGUCGUGAGACAGUUCGGUCCCUAUCCGUCGUGGGCGUAGGAAAUUUGAGAGGAGCUGUCCUUAGUACGAGAGGACCGGGAUGGACGCACCGCUGGUGUACCAGUUGUUCUGCCAAGGGCAUAGCUGGGUAGCUAUGUGCGGAAGGGAUAAGUGCUGAAAGCAUCUAAGCAUGAAGCCCCCCUCAAGAUGAGAUUUCCCAUAGCGUAAGCUAGUAAGAUCCCUGAAAGAUGAUCAGGUUGAUAGGUUCGAGGUGGAAGCAUGGUGACAUGUGGAGCUGACGAAUACUAAUAGAUCGAGGACUUAACCAU